AAUCAACGCUGGCGGCGUGCCUAACACAUGCAAGUCGCACGAGAAAGGGGAGCAAUCCCUGAGUAAAGUGGCGCACGGGUGAGUAACACGUGAAUCAUCUACCUCCGAGUGGGGAAGUAACUGAGAGAAAUACUUAGCUAAUACCGCAUAACACUCACGAGUCAAAGCAGCAAUGCGCUUGGAGAGGAGUUCGCGGCCGAUUAGUUAGUUGGCGGGGUAAGNGG
rnacentral:rRNA from 1 species